rnacentral:rRNA from 1 species
UACGGAGGAUGCGAGCGUUAUCCGGAUUUAUUGGGUUUAAAGGGUGCGCAGGCGGAGGCGCAAGUCAGCGGUAAAAUCGCGGGGCUCAACCCCGCUCCGCCGUUGAAACUGGGGGACUCGAGUUGGAGAGAAGCAGGCGGAAUGCGCGGUGUAGCGGUGAAAUGCAUAGAUAUCACGCAGAACCCCGAUUGCGAAGGCAGCAUACCGGCGCCCAACUGACGCUCAUGCACGAAAGCGUGGGUAUCGAA